UGUACUAGUAGUUUACAGUGAUUGAAUGUUGUUAAUUGGUGUCACGGUAGGUUCCCCAAUUUGAAGAAUGUGAAGGAGCUUAUUUACAAGGAGCCUUUCCCCCUUACCAGCAAUGAUCUAAUCGAGAAGAGGCAGGAGGAAGAAAAGACAGCAAUCAACACACACGUUCUGAAAAAAAAAAAUGUUGUUUUCACUUCCUUACUACGGCAAUGUGAGAGACUUAUAAAAAUGAGGAAGUUCAACCUUAUCUUUGUGAAGUGUUUUCAGGUGCAUCGGAAGGUGUUAUGACAAUCUCCGCUGUUUCUACACGGACGCCGGUCCGCCACAUCUCAACUAGCAUCUACUACUACAUGUUGUACUAGGCAUGCUCGAUUUCUUAAGCUCAAAAGUUUGAUUUUGCCAUGCUUUCCGCGGGGCAAAUGUGCUGUGCUGGGUAGCAAGGAUUUGGGAUCCGCUGCUUCUCGAUGUGCGGCCUCAUACCAUUGAACUUGAUUGCUCAGGCCUCUACGAUACUAUGAUCUCUGUUUGCAAUUUGCUUCUUGUAAAUACUAUUGCGGAUUCAGAUGGGGUUGUAUUAUUUCCAAUUGUAUUCUUCUGAGCUUGUGUUUUAAUUGAAAAAAAUGUGCGUGUGAACAAGAGAAAAAGAAUAUGUACAAAAGAAGUUCGUGUAUCACUUCCCGGAGAGUUCUUGUAUUACUCCCUAAAGAGUUCAAGCAUUGCUAUCCAGUUUGUGCACAAAUAAUUCUCUUUCCUGUAUGUGUCUAUGUUUUCGAAACUACAAUGAUCCAAAAAAAAUAGAUGUAACCAAUCUAAAAAGUUUUGUAAUUGCUACUAUUUGUUGCGAUGUCUAAAAGAGAAUUGAGUUUUCGUUGAAAUUCAAAUAAAUAAAUAUGAGUUGUUAUAUGUUAAAAUAAAUAAUUGAAAAGGCCCCAAGGAGUCCAAAUUUUAGAAAAGUAGCAGUUCGAUGUUUAUAUAAAAUUUAGACUGUUCUCAUUAUAAAAGAAUGAAUACAAGAAGUUCAAAAAUAAAAAAAGAAGAAGUUUGUAUUUUAAAAAUAGAGCAGUUCAAAAAUCUUAAAAAGGAUUUACGCCAUUUCUAAAUUAAAAAAACUCUAGAAGUACUAAUUUAAAUAACGGUCUGGUUCAAUAAUUAUUACAAAACUAGGAUUUUUUUUGUUAAUAAAAGGAAUAAACCAAGAAGUCCAAAUUACGAAAAUAUAGAAGUUCGAUAUUUAUAAAAAUAUCAUAUUUUCCUUGUUACUAAAGAAUAAAAAUAAAGAAGUUUAAAUUAAAAUAAAGGAGUAGUUCGAUGUAUACAGAAAACUCAAAUUCUUUCUGUUUCUCACAAAAAUAAAAGUAAGGAGUUCAAUUUUAAGAAAAUUGUAUGAUUCUAAAACCAUAUUUUUUUUCUCCGAAGAAUAACACAAAGAAGUUCAUAUUGAAAUAAUAGAGAAGUACGAAGUUUAUAGAAACUUCAGAUUUUUUCCUCGUUACUCAAGAAAAUAAAAUGAAGAAGUUCAAAUUAAAAUAAAAGGAAGAGCUAAAUGAAGAAGUUCAAAUUAAAAAAAUGGAGGAGUUUAAUGUAUAUGAAAAACUCAGUUUUUACUAAUAAUAAUUUAAGAAGUUCAAUUU